AGAUUCCGCAUGUCUGUUCUCGCAACUUAAAAAUUGCAGACUGUUUAACCAAAACAUUUUUUUCUCUACUUUACUAUUUUUUCAAGUAUGUGAAUUUCUUUCAAUGAAAUGGAAAGGAGAUUAUAUCUAAAAAUGCUUCAAAAUACAAAUGCCUAUGGAAGAAUCUCCAAAAAGGAUAAUAAAUACCCUUACAUACAAAGUAAGAUCCACAUUCUCUAGGAAAAUUUUAAUUUUAUCACAAAUUUGAAAUUACUUUUAAAUGAUAACUAUUUUUAUAAAUAUUAUAAAUUUAUGAUGAAAAAUUAAACUAACUCUCUUUAAUCAUUUAUAAAAGUUGUAAACCCGACGCCACCCAUUAAUAGUAUUCCAUAAAAAAAUAAUCACUAACCCUAAAUUCAAAUGUCAAUGUAUUUUUGAUUAAAAGUAUUUUUGAAAACUGCUUGCUAACUUAGAGUAUUUCAAACAAUAUCUUAGUUCUCUACUAUACUCAAUAAUGUAAGAUUCAAACUUCUAUAAAUAAUAAGUACCACUGGAAACACAAUAUACUAAAACUAGGAGGCCAAGUUCAAAUAUACCGAAACGCGAAUAAUAGUCAAUUAAUUUAAACUAUGCAAUAUACCUGAACAUUUUGUUGGUUACAGAAAUACGAAAAACAAUUCAGUUGUUCUUUUUAUUUUUGCAAGAUGAUGUAAUGAAAAUGUUUUAGGGAAUCAGUUUGCGAAUAAGUUUCUUAAAAAAAAUCUACGACUGUUUUUUACUAUCCAUGAACAGUAAAUCUUAUACUAUCUAUGGACAGUAAGCUUUUGACCACUUGUAAAUUUAACCAGAAAAAAUUUUAUUUAUCUUCUAUUUGCAUCCAAUAAUUAGUUUGUUGAAAAGAAAAUAAGUUGGAAUGUAAACAAAAAAAAAAAAAAAGUGGGAUAUUCCAUCACGAGGUGGACUCCAAGACGGUAGCGCCCCUUCUGCCAAUCUGCUCUCUACCCAACAUUUUUUUCUUGUUAAUAUAUAUCUUAUGCCCAUUAAACCAAUCCAGAAAAUUAACAUUUUGUCACAAGUAUAAAGGAUACAUUAUAUAAUUUAUUUAUUUAUUAUAUAUACACACACACUUCUCUUGUAUAUUCACACAAAGUUGUAUGCUUUCUCUUUCUCUCUCUCUCCUCUCUCUCCAUCUCUCUGUUUUAGAUCUCAUCAGGUCUUCUCUGCUUAGUAUGUGGCUUCCACGAUCUGGUAACAUGUAAUAUAUACGUCAUACUUUUUUUUGCAAAUCAAAAUUUGUGUUGUUUUGUUUCAUUUUACUGUUUUAGCUGUAUAUAAUACCAAGUUCAGACUUCAGAGUGUAUUCAGGAUUUUUCAUUCUCCUCUCUCUCUUAGGGUUUCGCUUCUUCUGUUUUUUUUCUUCUUUUUUUGGUUUGGUUCCAAUUAAGUAGAAGAGAGUAAAAUAGACGUAAUUACUUUACAUCUCAUCCAAUCAUAACAAGCCAUCUCGACUAUUCCACAAUCUUUAUCCUCCUAUAUAUAUAUAUAUAUAUACAGAUAUAUAGUAUAUACGAUUUUGCAGGGUCUAUAAAUAAGGAGGCUAAGUAUUAACUAUUUAGAGAAAUAUGUCAGUGUUAGUCAUCAAGUUUGAGUUUGUGAGGCAAAGGAUUACUACAAGAAGACUGUUAGACGAAACUGAAGAUUACUUUCCGGAGCCACGGUCGUUGUUUGCUGCUGUGGCAUCAUCAAGAUUCACAUCCGUUGAUGGACGGUGGUGGUUCACUCUACCCAAAGUUCUCUUGUGAAAAUGGGAAUCUUGAUGAUGCUGCAUCGGUAAUCAACGGCUAUCCUUUUCCUCUCUCUUUUUAUUAAAUUUAUAGUUUUUAAUCGAUCCAGAUCUUCUUCAGGUAGGUCUUGUCUGCUUGAAUUUUUUUUUGCUUUAUUCUUUUUUAUGUUAACCUAUUCUCUCCACAUAUAACUUUUUGAUACAUAAAGAUCUGACCAGAAUCUCAAGUUUUUCGCAGUAAUUUUCAUGUUGCUAACUUCCUUUCACACAAUAUACGAGUGGAUCCACGAGUUUUCUUCUAUCCAUAGGUGAACAAGAGUCAUAUCACCAAUUGAUCAAAUUAAGGUCUUCAGGAGUGGAUCGUAAUGACAACGCGGUCUCCAGCAAGGACUAUGUAACUUAAGGUCAUCUUCAAUGCUUUAAUCUCUGUUAUAUUGUAAUUUGAAAGUAUCAGCUCUACAUGGGCUGUUACUUGAGUUCGACAUGAGCUUCGGAUCUUUGUAGGCCCAUUGUCUCCUUACGGGCCUAAAGGACCUUGGACCAAGUUCUCGAACCGGGAUAAGAAGCUUUAGAGUGGAGGAAUAGUUCUUGAUGCUACAGUUUUUGAUUGAUUAGGGGUAGUCCAAGAAGUGGCAUCAAACCUAAAGUCUUGUUGCGUCUUAUCACCUAAACACAGAAAUAGUAUUUUGAAUGCAGAAACAUUCCAAGUUUUAUUUUGCAAUCAAAAUAAUCAAAAAGAUAAUUUAUUUCUUGUUGCCGCUAAACAAUCUACUCAAAUCCCCAUAGAAGAAAGUAAGAAAAAAAAAGAACAUUGUGAGAUCACUGGGGACAACAUAUAUGACCAUAAGAUUAUAAUGUGUUUUCAUUAGACCAUGAGACCCUGAGGAGGAGCAGCAGCAGGAGCCUUAGGUUUGGGUUUGUCAA